rnacentral:rRNA from 1 species
UACGGGAGGCAGCAGUGGGGAAUAUUGCACAAUGGGCGCAAGCCUGAUGCAGCCAUGCCGCGUGUAUGAAAAAGGCCUUCGGGUUGUAAAGUACUUUCAGUCGUGAGGAAGGUGUUAAGGUUAAUAACCUUAGCAAUUGACGUUAGCGACAGAAGAAGCACCGGCUAACUCCGUGCCAGCAGCCGCGGUAAUACGGAGGGUGCGAGCGUUAAUCGGAAUUACUGGGCGUAAAGGGCACGCAGGCGGUUAAUUAAGUUGGAUGUGAAAUCCCCGGGCUUAACCUGGGAAUGACAUUCAAGACUGGUUAGCUAGAGUCUUGUAGAGGGGGUAGAAUUCCAUGUGUAGCGGUGAAAUGCGUAGAGAUGUGGAGGAAUACCGGUGGCGAAGGCGGCCCCUGGACAAAGACUGACGCUCAUGUGCGAAAGCGUGGGGAGCAAACAGGGAUUAGAUACC